UGUUCCUCUUAGCUCAAAUGGGUUUUCUAUAGCAAAAGAGAGAAUGAAAAACAUAUCUCUGCUCAAAUCUUGGAAAAGGAAGGAAGAAAAACUCAUUCCUCUUUGCUCAAAUCUGGGAAAAGGGAAGAAGAAAAAAAUCGUUCCUCUUUGUUCAAAUCUGUGAAAAGGGAGGAAGAAGUAGUGUCUAUUGGUUUAAUAUUUCGUCAAAUCUAUUGGAAUAGGGUUUUUUGCUGAAUAUUCUUCAAUUUUUCACUAAUAGGGUUCUCUAAAGUAUAUAUUGCAUCAGGAAUAGGGUUCUCUAAAGUCAAAGGAGGAAGGGAAAAAGUUCAUAAUUUGAAAAUCAGUGUGAGAGUGUCUCGUUCAAUUGAACUUGUUCUUUGGUUGAAGUUUUGAAGGGUCAGCUCCAACAACUUGUUAUUGAACAACAAUCUGAAGAGAUCGAGCAUCGCAUGACUAGGGGUGAUAUCUUAUCUUCAGUUCUUGGUGAGAGAUCAGGCUAUAUUUGGGGGGAAAUGAUACGGAAAGACACCUCCUAAAAAGACUCAAAUACAUAAGGCAUAUAUAGAGGCUAGUGUGUCUUCAGCGAUGGAAAGUAUGCGUCAAGAGAUGCAAGCUGAUAUGGAUCGAAAAUUGCAAGAACAACGAAAGCAAAUGACUGCUGAUUUAAAAAGAAAUAUGGAAGAAGAUUUGCUAAAAAAAUUGGAAGAGGAGCGUGAACACAUGAAAGGCGAAGUGGACAAGAUGUUUCAAGAACAAAUGGCCGCUAUCAUGAUUAGAAUGCAAUAGGGACAAGGUUCUUAAACAAUGGGGCAAGAUCAAGAAGUAGUUUUAAGGCGUGCAAUGGAAGUUUUUGCUUUUGGCCAUAUGUAUAUGGUUACAACGAUAAUUGAACUACU